CACCCAGUGUGAGAACAUUUACCUCUUUCCAGGUACACACAGACACCGAGCGGGAUGAACGGCUGCCAGGGCAGAUGUUUGCAGUGGAGUCAGAGCCAGAAGAACCUGGACUGCAGCCACCUCAGCGAGGAGUGCAAAGAAGGGGAAAUCCCUCUAGAGCAUUAAUAAAGAACUGAAAAUUCCACAACAAUUCUUGAAGAUUUUUUUCCCUGCUACAGUGUCUGCUCUGACAUGACCAAAAUUCCCCAUCAGCUUUAAGGGAACUUCCUGAGAAAAUUAUAAAGAAAUUUAUAAAUUCAGCAACAGCUCAAAACCAGCAUUCAGCAAAAAGAAGUCAAGAUAUUCUCAACAUUCUGGAAUUUCAAACUUUAUUAUUGUGCUUGUGAGUGGAACCCACUGGAUGUGAAGAGAGUUGGGCACUGACAUAAAGAAUUCAGUGGAACACAGAGACUGGAAAGGCUUGACAAGAUUUGCCUGUCAGCA